UACUCAUGAAUGGCUGGGCAUAAAACAACUUACAGUUGUCAUGCAACUAGUCAACCCUCAGUCAUGGAAACUCACAGGAUGAAUUUAGGUUGGAGAAAACUGCAUGUAAAGCCUUCUUCAAUGAAAGAAACAAGAAAUUCAGAGAGAAAAAAAUAUACACAGCUGAAAUAUACUGUAUGCAUUUGAUAGUAUUCUAAUACAUAAUUCAUAUUUGCUGAGUCUUGAUCCAACUGAAGUUAGAGGUCUUUUUCAUAAAGACCCACUCUCAAUGUGGGAUGAGACAAGUCUCUGUUCAUUCCAUGAUGUCAUGAGAAGGAACUUGUAAUUUUGAUACCUGACUAUACCAUUAACAUUGCAUCUAUGAAAGGGGCAAUGCUAUUUCAAGACAGUAAAUACUACUUUACAAUGUAUUUGUCUUAUAUUCUAAUUAAAUGUAAUUCUCGGCUUACUCUA